GUGGGCGUCUGAAGGAGUACUCCAGCUAGUAAGCAUCGUGACUGAACCUGAGGAAAUUAAUCCUGAGGCUUUAUAAAAUUUACUUUUCAAACUACUUGAUAAACAGCAAGCAGAGGAGCACCUGAUUCCAAAAGUAAAGACCUGCCAAAUCUUCCAGCUAGAGCAAGGAUAAUGUAUGACUGCAAUCUGUUUACCAAGAUGUGAUAAAGUCAUCUGAAAAACAUGGCGUCGGAAACCUCACAUUUGGUUUGGAUACAUAUCUUAAACACAAUGUAAGAGGAGACAUUGCUUUUUCCAUUUCCUUAUUUAACACCCAAGAAAUAUGAAAAUUAUUUUAAAUUAUUGUUCUGUGCCUUCUCCCUCUGGGAUAAACAAAGAUCACUGACAACAAACCCAGAAGAUAAUUUACUAUGAGUGCAUUUUAUAGUCACAUAUGUGUGACACUGGAAGACAAAAAUUCUGUUUGAAGAAGGCACCAGAUAGAAACAAACAAAUGUGGAUAAUUCAGCAUGCAGACAAGUACCUUUUACUUAAGCUUUCAUAUGUGCAUUUAUAGCUGUGUAAGAACAUCCCAUCCUGAAAAACCUAUCUUAUUGCUGACAGUAAUUUGUCUUACUAAUGGUUUCUCAGUCUAAAGGCUGGAUGGGAAGGAACUGGUGCAGAGCCCAAAUGGCAAAAGCCAAAAGCUGCUUGUUUCUGAAGGACUAAAACUUGGCAUAAUGUCAAACAGCAUUCUGGCAGAAGCUCAACUUCUCUCACCUGUAUGUAACUUCAGUUUUCCAGCUAGAUGAAGAUGAACUAAGGGAAAAGGGCUUUCAUCUCAUUCUGUUUCAUUGCAUGAGGGCAAUGGAUUCUAUGGACAGAACUGUUUUUGUAUCUUUGGUUAUAUUAAUAUAAAUAUCAUAGUUUAUAUAGCAUUAAUCUCAUGCCAAGCAUUUCAUAUACCUCUGCAUCAAAAUAUUUUAUUGCAAUGACUGACAUCCAUGCCAGAAUGCUCAUCUACCCUCUUGCACCAUCGUCAGCCCUACAGAGACGUGUUUGUUAUAUAGCCUUGAAUAUACAUGGAUAUGAUUGCUGGAUAUCCCUACUUUGUGCAGGGAACUGCCCGAUGCCUCUUUGAAGCACGCUCCUUGAAUCAAGACACACAGAAGAGUGGAAAGGAAACACUUCACCUGAAGAAAUGCUGAACAGAGAUUGAUAAAAGCAACCAUAAAAUUAUGUGGCAAUUUGGACAUUAGAAUAAAGCUAAGAUACUUGUUCUCAACAGCACAAGGACAAAAUGGAUGAUUGUCAUGGCAGAGUGUCUAACAAGAGAUCUACAAUUAUGCAUGGGGAGAAUUCCCAAGAACCCCAGAGAUCAGAUAGAGUGCCUAUAUUUCUAUUAUACAUAAUACAGUUCAAUCUCAUUUUCUUGUUGUUUUUUUC
ensembl:lncRNA